rnacentral:rRNA from 1 species
AACGAACGCUGGCGGCAGGCUUAACACAUGCAAGUCGAACGGGUGCAGCAAUGCAUCAGUGGCAGACGGGUGAGUAACACGUGGGAACCUUCCUAGGGGUACGGAACAACUCAGGGAAACUUGAGCUAAUACCGUAUACGUCCGUGAGGAGAAAGAUUUAUCGCCCUUAGACGGGCCCGCGUCGGAUUAGCUAGUUGGUGGGGUAACGGCCUACCAAGGCGACGAUCCGUAGCUGAUCUUAGAGGAUGAUCAGCCACACUGGGACUGAGACACGGCCCAGACUCCUACGGGAGGCAGCAGUGGGGAAUCUUGGACAAUGGGCGCAAGCCUGAUCCAGCCAUGCCGCGUGAGUGAAGAAGGCCUUCGGGUUGUAACUUCGGUAGACUGGGAAGAAGAAAUACGUUACGUUGUAGGGCGUAUAGUGACGGUACCAGUCUG